rnacentral:rRNA from 1 species
GACGGACGCUGGCGGCGUGCUUAACACAUGCAAGUCGAACGGAAAGGCCCUGCUUUUGUGGGGUGCUCGAGUGGCGAACGGGUGAGUAACACGUGAGUAACCUGCCCUUGACUUUGGGAUAACUUCAGGAAACUGGGGCUAAUACCGGAUAGGAGCUCCUGCUGCAUGGUGGGGGUUGGAAAGUUUCGGCGGUUGGGGAUGGACUCGCGGCUUAUCAGCUUGUUGGUGGGGUAGUGGCUUACCAAGGCUUUGACGGGUAGCCGGCCUGAGAGGGUGACCGGCCACAUUGGGACUGAGAUACGGCCCAGACUCCUACGGGAGGCAGCAGUGGGGAAUAUUGCACAAUGGGCGGAAGCCUGGUGCAGCAACGCCGCGUGCGGGAUGACGGCCUUCGGGUUGUAAACCGCUUUCGCCUGUGACGAAGCGUGAGUGACGGUAAUGGGUAAAGAAGCACCGGCUAACUACGUG